rnacentral:rRNA from 1 species
GGGCCCGCACAAGCGGUGGAGCAUGUGGUUUAAUUCGAUGCAACGCGAAGAACCUUACCUACUCUUGACAUCCAGAGAACUUUUCAGAGAUGAAUUGGUGCCUUCGGGAACUCUGAGACAGGUGCUGCAUGGCUGUCGUCAGCUCGUGUUGUGAAAUGUUGGGUUAAGUCCCGCAACGAGCGCAACCCUUAUCCUUGUUUGCCAGCGAGUAAUGUCGGGAACUCCAGGGAGACUGCCGGUGAUAAACCGGAGGAAGGUGGGGACGACGUCAAGUCAUCAUGGCCCUUACGAGUAGGGCUACACACGUGCUACAAUGGCGCAUACAGAGGGCGGCCAACUUGCGAGGGGGAGCCAAUCUCAGAAAGCCGGUCGUAGUCCGGAUUGUUGUCUGCAACUCGACAGCAUGAAGUCGGAAUCGCUAG